rnacentral:rRNA from 1 species
CGGGGUGCAGCAGGCGCGAAAACUUUGCAAUACACGAAAGUGUGACAGGGUUAUCCCGAGUGCCGACCGCUGAGGUUGGCUUUUACCCAGUCUAGAAAGCUGGGGGAAUAAGGAGAGGGCAAGUCUGGUGUCAGCCGCCGCGGUAAUACCAGCUCUCCGAGUGGUGUGGACGUUUAUUGGGCCUAAAGCAUCCGUAGCUGGCUGGACAAGUCCCCUGUUAAACCCACCGAUUUAAUCGUUGGCGUGCGGGGGAUACUGCUCGGCUAGGGGACGAGAGAGGCAGACGGUAUUCCCGGGGUAGGGGUGAAAUCCUAUAAUCCCGAGAAGACUACCAGUGGCGAAGGCUGUCUGCUAGAACGCGCCCGACGGUGAGGGAUGAAAGCUGGGGGAGCGAACCGGAUUAGAUACCCGGGUAGUCCCAGCUGUAAACGAUGCAGACUAGGUGUUUGGACGGCCACGUGCCGUUCUAGUGCCGCAGGGAAGCUGUUAAGUCUGCCGCCUGGGGAGUACGAUCGCAAGAUUGAAACUUAAAGGAAUUGGCGGGGGAGCAC